rnacentral:rRNA from 1 species
AUGUCUACAUCGCCAGGCUACGUUGCAGUUCCUCGUCGUUUGGUGAUCUUUGAUGGUACCAACUACAUCGAGUUCGUCGGCUUCAUGCGCAUUCAUAUGCGUGGCAUUCGUCUCUGGGGCGUUCUUUCUCGCGAGGUCGCCUGUCCACGACGCCCAGUUCCUCUUGUGGCCCCUACUCCGCCGACGCCAUCGGUUCUUGCUGCAGAUGCUAAUCAGGCUGCGAAGGAUGCGGCUAAGCUUGCUGAUGACGCUGUUGUUCGUGCUUAUGAUGAGCAGGGUUUGGUUUAUGAGGACGCUCUUCACACUUAUCAUGAGGCUCUGUCUACUUACACUCGGUGGCUUGAUGAUGAUGCUCAUGCCGCCGCUGUUCUCAGUGCUAGUGUUCUGCCUUAG